rnacentral:rRNA from 1 species
CAAUAGCGUAUAUUUAAGUUGCUGCAGUUAAAAAGCUCGUAGUUGGAUUUCGGGUGGGAAUGGCCGGUCCGCCGUUUCGGUGUGCACUUGCUACGCCCACCUUGCUGCCGGGGACGUGCUCUUGAGUUCACGCUCGGGACACGGAGUCGGCGAGGUUACUUUGAGUAAAUUAGAGUGUUCAAAGCAGGCCUACGCUCUGAAUACAUUAGCAUGGAAUAACACGACAGGACUCUGGCCUAUCUUGUUGGUCUGUAGGACCGGAGUAAUGAUUAAGAGGGACAGUCGGGGGCACUCGUAUUUCAUUGUCAGAGGUGAAAUUCUUGGAUUUAUGAAAGACGAACUACUGCGAAAGCAUUUGCCAAGGAUGUUUUCAUUAA